rnacentral:rRNA from 1 species
GAUGAACGCUGGCGGCGUGCCUAAUACAUGCAAGUCGAGCGGAGCGGCGGACGGGUGAGUAAUGCCUAGGAAUCUGCCUGGUAGUGGGGGAUAACGUACGGAAACGGGCGCUAAUACCGCAUACUAUCAGAUGAGCCUAGGUCGGAUUAGAUAGUUGGUGGGGUAAAGGCGUACCAAGGCGACGAUCCGUAACUGGUCUGAGAGGAUGAUCAGUCACACUGGAACGGAGACACGGGCCAGACUCCUACGGGAGGCAGCAGUGGGGCAUAUUGCACAAUGGGCGCAAGCCUGAUGCAGCCAUGCCGCGUGUAUGAAGAAGGCCUUCGGGUUGUAAAGUACUUUCAGCGGGGAGGCGUUACCCGCAGAAGAAGCACCGGCUAACUCCGUGCCAGCAGCCGCGGUAAUAC